GGAAGGAUCAUUAACAAUUAAAAAACAAUGUUCUUAAAAACAACAUUGUUUUUUGACAGAAACAUGCAGCAUUUCAUUUUUUUUUGUAAACCAAAAACAACAAAACAAAACAUAAAAAUAUAAAAUUUCACUUUCAACAAUGGAUAUCUUGGCUCCCGUUUCGAUGAAGAACGUAGCAAACUGCGAUAAUUGACGUGAAUUGCAGAAUAAAGUGAAUCGUCGAGUUUUUGAAUGCACCCUGCACCUCGGAGACAAAUCUCUGAGGUAUGCUUGGUUGAGUGUUACUCAAUAAUUAUAAAAAAUCUCAAAAUUUUUGAAGGUCUCUCUUUAAAAAGAGUCCUUUGAAAAAUGAAUCAAUUAGAAAUGAGUGUGAAAAACUGAUGAAGAAAGCAACAUGAAAAAUGAUAAAUUUUCCAAGGAGCCAUACUUCAUCAUUGAAUUAGCGCUCAUUUUCCAAUUUCUUUCAAAUAUACCUCAACUCAAGCAAGACUACCCGCUGAAUUUAAGCAUAUUAAUAAGCGGAGGAAAAGAAAACAACAGUGAUUCCCCCAGUAACGGCGAGUGAACAGGGAAAAGCUCAGACUUGAAAUCUGGAAGUCUUUUUGAUUUCCCGAAUUGUAGUCUUUCGAGUGUCACCCCUUGGUUUCCUCUGUCAUGAAAAAGUAUCCUGGAACGGAUUGGCAAAGAGGGUGAGACCCCCGUUUUCAUGUGACGGAGAGGAGCCGGUACAGUGGGUGGCGCUUGUCGAGUCAGGUUGCUUGAGAGUGCAGCCUAAAAUGGGUGGUAAACUCCACCUAAAGCUAAAUAAGCAACGGGAGACCGAUAGCGAAAAAGUACCGUGAGGGAAAGAUGAAAAGUACUCUGGAAAGAGAGUAAAAAGUGCUUGAAAUUGUUGAAAGAGAAGCGCUUGGACUUAGUGGCUGCCUUGCCCCUGGAGAAAGCUUCUGCGCAGCAAUGCCCGGGAGUAUUUUCUUCAGGGACGGUGGGCUGGCACUGGUUGAGUAUUGGCCUCAAGAAGGCCAGCAGAAAGCUGAAUUGCUUGAACGAGUUUGAGCUUCGUGGGUGCUGCAGUGGAUGGGGCAACCUGUUCACUCGCUGUCUGACGAGGCGAACGACUCAUAAUAUUUUUAUCAAGCGCACGCUCACUCGACCAGUAAUUGAGUUAAAGUCACAGUCCCUUCAACAGCUCAUUCCCGCGACAGGUUCCCUGGCUGGGACCAACGUGUGGGGCCACCUCGUUUGCAUCUUUUGCAGGUUUCUGCAAGGGAGCAGGCGAGACCCUGCUCUUGGGCCUGGUCACACGGGGGUUUGCCCAGCGGAAGUUUCAUGAAGGGGUUCGUACAAAACCACACCUGCCAGCAAAAUAAGUUCAAACGUCCCGUCUUGAAACACGGACCAAGGAGUCUAACAUGCACGCAAGCGUUCUGGUGAUUAAAACCAAACAUAUUCGAACUGAACUGACGCGAAACGAAAGUGAAAAAGAAGUGGGAAGCGGCUUCUUUAAACUUGGGAGCUGCUGCACCACUCGCCCAUCCUGAGGUUCGUCCAAAAUGGGUGAGAGCGAUAGUGUGCAUGAUAGGACCCGAAAGAUGGUGAACUAUGCUUGGGUAGGACAAAGCCAGGGGAAACCCUGGUGGAAGUUCGUAGCGAUACUGACGUGCAAAUCGUUCGUCAAACCUGUGCAUAGUGGCGAAAGACUAAUCGAACCAUUUAGUAGCUGGUUCCCUC
rnacentral:misc_RNA from 1 species